rnacentral:misc_RNA from 1 species
AAGUCGUAACAAGGUUUCCGUAGGUGAACCUGCGGAAGGAUCAUUACCGAGUGCGGGUUCCAACGAGCCCAACCUCCCACCCGUGUUUACCGUCACCGCGUUGCCUCGGCGGGCCCACUGGGGCCUGGCCCCGGUCGCCGGGGGGCACCUGCCCCCGGGCCCGCGCCCGCCGAAGCACCCUGGAACCCUGCCUGAAUAGUGAGUCUGAGUGAGAUUUUGAAUCAUUAAAACUUUCAACAACGGAUCUCUUGGUUCCG